AUAGGUAGUCAGGAGAGCGUGAUGGAGGACACAGAUUCCGAAACGUGGUGGUGAUUCUCUUGGAGAAAAUAUGGUAUAUUCAGAGCUGCUUGCUUGAAGUGGACACAACAACUCUCGUCAACUGCCCGUAGGAGACAAGGAUGCGCAGGAGAAAUGACAACGCUUCUAUCGCACCAGCUGCCAUCAAUAUCACCAUGGGCGGUUUGAGACCGUCUUCUGGGUCGUCCGAAAGACGGCCAGAUUUUCAAGUUUACAUUGAUAGGUACAUGUACAUGUAUCUAAUUUUCUCUGUCAGAAGAUUGUCGAAAAUGGAGGAUGGAUCAACAAAUAUUAUUUAGAAAACUGUCAGAAAAUAUCUCUGGAUCCGCCCCUGUCUCUGAUCAACUCUGGCUAGCUAAAGUGGUGUUUUACACGUGUCUUUCUGCGAAUUCUGGAAUUGUAAAUGUACAACAAUCGGAACUCUAAGUGCAGUGCAAUUUUAACAGUAUUGAUGUACAAAACAAUACCCAGUUUUAAGGAGUGUGCACAUUUAGAAUUCUACUUAAAUAACUUGAAUGGUGGAGGCAAAUAUAUUAAUCAAGCAGUAUUUUAAACAAUGUCACCUUACUCUUGGAUGGUAAUUGAAUGGCGUAAUAAACUCGAAUUCAUCCAGGCAGAAAGAAUUU